CCUCCCGAGUAGCUGGGAUUACAAGUGUGCACCAUGCCCAGCUAAUUUUUUUAUUUUUAGUAGAGACAGAGUUUCACCAUGUUGGCCAGGCUGGUCUCGAACUCCUGACCUCAGGUGAUCCGCCCGGACUUAGCCUCCUAAAGUGCUGGCAUUAGAGGCGGGAGCCACUGCACCUGGCCAAAACCUGUGUUUUGGAAGGGCAGGCAAGAAGGCGCAGAUGUUGCAGCCCACCCCAGAUGGCUCCCCUCCUCUUUCUCCUCACCUCCUGGCCUCAGAGCAAUCCGGGAGGAUGAGAGAGACUCCUCUGGUGUCCAGACACCACUGGGCUUCCUGGGGUCUAGACAGCAGCUUGUCACAUUUCCAGAGAGCUGACGCCACUGGAGGAGGCCUCCCUGCAGAAUCAGAAGCUGAAGGCUGCGUAUGAGGCCCGAAUGGCGAGGCUAGACCCCAGCCAGGCCAUGCAGAAGACAUCCCUGACCCUCUCUCUACAGCGGCAGAUGAUGGAGAACCUAGUGAUUGCCAAAGCCCGGGAGGAGACAAGAAAGAUGGAGGAGCGCCGGCUGCGGCUCCAGGAGGCCGCCAACAGGUGGGACUCCUGCCCGCCCCUGGGGCCGCUGCGGGGAGGGCCUGGCCCCGGCACCCACCGCGUGCCUUUCUCCCCAGGAGGUUUUGCAGCCAAGUCGCCCUGACCCCGGAGGAACGGGAGCAGCGGGCCCUUUACGCCGCCAUCCUGGAGUACGAACAGGACCAUGACUGGCCGAAGCACUGGAAGGCCAAGCUCAAGAGGAAUCCGGGGGACCUGUCACUCGUGACCAGCCUGGUCUCACACCUGCUCAGCCUCCCCGACCACCCGAUCGCGCAGCUCCUGAGGCGGCUGCAGUGCUCCGUGUACAGCGCCCUGUAUCCCGCCGUGAG
rnacentral:sRNA from 1 species